AGAAACAACAUAAUAUAGCCACAAUCAUAAGGCUAUAGUGCAGGUAGGACCCUUAUCAAAAUUUAGCUAUUGAUUUAGCAUUUUAUCUAUGAGGCUUUUGGUAUUUAUAAAUUGUACGAGUAAGUUGGGAAAAAUUGGCAAAACUAUUUUGCCAUAUAUUCACUUUUUUUUUUCAUUUAAUUUUUAGGUUUAGGGUGUAAAAAGUGGAAAAAAAUUGAAAAAGUGGGGCCCACACGUGAGCUAAGGGAUCAUUUCAUCAUUUUUACAACUUUGCAAAUUUAAUAUAAUACACCUAACACCCUCCACUUAUUCCAAUAUUAAAAAAAAACUCUCUCUCCUCUUCAAUUCUCUCCAACUCCCGCAAUUUCCAACAAGCUCCUCCUAAAACAUCAUUUUUGUCUCUCCUUCUUCUCCAGCUGCUAAGGGCUCAUCGUUGCUUUAUAAGGUUAGUGAAAAUCAAGUUUCGAUUAUUUUUAGAUCCAUUUAAUUAAUGGAUUUCACUGGUAAUCGAUUCGUAGUAAUGUAGGAAAUUUAUUUAUUUAUUUUGAAUUUGGUUGAUUAAGUACUUAAAAUAUGAGAAUUUUAUAGGUAAUUAGUUUGAUUUUGAAGUAAUGGUUGAUGUUUUACUCGAUAUUUUUGAUAGAUUUUUUCGUCGUUCACGGUAUUGAAUUUUGAAAUUUUUGUUAAAAAAUUUUGGUUUAUUUCUAAUUUUUUUAGCAAUGAAGUGUUGAAUAGUGGGAUAAUUGUUAUUUUAAGAGUUAUUUGGCAAUUUGAUUCAAACAGUGACAUGUUUCUGUCCAUAGACCCGUGAUCUAUGAAAUGAGAAUGCCCUAGAUUGAAAUCAAUUUUUAGACGUAUGAAAUUCUUUUAAGAUAUGAUUGGUGAAAUAGUGAAAAUUGAAAGAUUAAUAGCAAAUUAGUUUGAUUUGUAGCAAUAGUUUAUUUUUACCAAUAGUUGAGUUUUGAUACUUCGUGUUGGAUUUUGGUACAGUUAUGGUAUUUUGUGUAGUGAACUGUUCAAUGGUGGGAUAUUUCUUAGUUUUUGGGGUUUUUCAUUCAAGCAUUGAGUUGUUUCUGUCAGUAGACUUGUGAUGUAUGAACUGAAAAUGGCAGAUUUAUUCUGUAGGUGUAGAUUAUGUUGAAAAUAGCUAAGAAAAAUAUAUUGCUAAACACAAAGCUGAUAGCGCAUCUGAUUCUGCUGGUAGCAGUAGACAAAAAAAUUGAGGCAAUUGAAAAUAUCUCAAAAAGGAAGAAAAUUAAAGAGGAAGAGUUGAAAUCAGAUCUGAAGUUAAAAGAGAUAAGUAGAUACAUCGAUUCUAGUGAAGAUGUCGUCGAGUGUAGUGCUAGUGGUGAUAGUGAGGAAAAUGGAAAAAUAGUGUUGAUGGGGAUAAUGAUCCCUUGUCUGUGCCAACUUGUUCAAGGUACAUUUUUGUAGAGCGGUAUGACCUUCGAACUAUUAUGAAAGAGUUUGGAUCUUUCCCGGCAAAGAUAUUGGUUAGAUCAAGAAUGGCUGCUUAUCGAAAAUUUAAGCAAGUUCUUAUCAACCAGGACUUGAAGAAAAGAUUCAAGCGAUCCUCUUUUGGAUACCUGAGAAACCUGUCGGAACAUCUCAAAUUCAAUGAGCAGGUGGUCCAUUGUUUGCUGUUGUGAUGCGUCAAGAAUGAUAAGAUGCGUCAUGAGAUGUGGUUCUGCGUGAACAAUAAGCCUGUUUGUUUUGGCUUGAAGGAGUUUUGUUUGAUCACGGAGUUGAACUGCUCAUCGUAUCCCAGUGAAUCAAAAUUGAAGAAGGUGUUAUAGAACGGGGAGCAUUUUUGCUUUAAGAUGACGAAAAACAAAAAUAUUAUGGCAAUCAACUUUUACACUUUAUUAGAGGGAAUAAGCAGAACGAGGAAUAGAAGUUUAAGUGUUGUUUACUGUGUUCUUGCACACCAUGUUGUUUGUAAAAGAUAUGACAAAGGUUGUCGACACAAAACUGAUUCGAAUGGUCGAUUCUUUGAGUUUCUUCAAGAGUUAUCCGUGGAGAAAAGAGACAUUUCAACUGACCAUGGACUAUCUAAAUAAGAAAAGUGACCUAAAGAAGCAGAGAAAAGUAUUUGAUGAGAAGCAGAAGGCAUUCUAUGCUCUAUUCAAAACUUUUUGGACAUUCAUGCUAUCUACCAUCAACCCUUUAGUGAGAUUAUCAUAGAUUCUUAUUUUAUUUAUACCCUGUCAUAGACUCUGAGUCAUUUUUUCACUACUGUACUGCUUACAGAUUUGGAUCUAUGAGGCAUUUCCUCAUCUUGAAAAAUUUGCUGAAAAAUCAAUGGAUGAGCCCUUUCUCAUUUUUCACAUCCUGAGAUGGCACACUACAAAAAGUGAGAAGAUAAUCGAAGGCGACCUAUUCAAGCAUAAAGGAAAAGUUACCAAGGUAUGAAUUUAUUUUUUAUUAUGCAAUAAUACUAUUGUUGUAUCGAAUGUUAUGUACUUGUUAAUUGAUUUUUUGUAG
rnacentral:lncRNA from 1 species